AGUUCUAGGAACACGGUGCUUUGUGCGUGGUCGGGUCUCUUCCCCCCACCCCCAAUCCUCUUUGUUGUGGUGGUUCUUCGUCUGGGAAUUAACUUCUUUUAUUCGUUUCCGUAUAUAGAGAAAUAUUGCUGAAUUCUAUAGUGCAAGGAAAAGAGGGAAGAAAGAUCCAUUCGGUACAGUUUUAUUGUGGGAGAGGAAAAAGAAGAGAUAAUUCUCAAUUAAGAAGGCCUCAACUUAAUAAUGUAAUGCAGCAGCUCCAUUUUCCGCUUACAAAAGCAAUCAUGUACAUUAUACGCUUAAUUGCGAUAGACUGGAGAGUUGCUGCCCUGAAAAAUAGAUAUCAGAUCAUCGUCUCACAGGCUUUGUAUGGCUAUAGAUAAUACCCAUAUAAAAUGUAAACGGAUAGGUAAUGUAAGUGGCUGUACGUUGUACAGUAUCUCAUGAAACAAAGCACAGACUAAUGAACAGAGCUGCCUGGUAGCAAGCAGGUGACAUAGCUGGAUGUCUUGAACAAUUGCUUUUGGUAUUAGUGUUCAAAGACAUUUCUGCACACAACAGCCUGCCUUGAUAGAGAUUGAUAAUUGUUCUGUUUUCUGGAGUAGAUACAACUUCUCUUUUAUCCACCUUUUGUCUGAAAUCUGAAAAUCAAAAUGUGAACAUACUGCAAGCACACCUACACUGAUAGAAUUUGUGUCCAAAGCAGCAACAAGACAAAGUCCAUUCUUAGGUGGGUUGGAUUGGUGAUCUAGAAUUCUGCCAUCAUUUUAUAAAAAUGGAAAUGAGGUUGGUUUGGGAUGUCCAAAUCUCCCACCCAAGCUUUUUUCAUGGCCUGAAUAUGUUAACAGAUAAAUACAUUUAGGGAUCUUAAAUGAAAAUAAGUAUUUUCAUAUAUAACAUUUUCUUAGGCCUUUAUUUUUUAACAGAUCCUUGGACAGCUGCUGGCACAGCAGGAAAUAGGGGUAUAAAAUAAAUUUGGAAAUUGAAAAAAGAAUUCUAGACAUCAAUGCCGAAUAUUGUUGCCAAGAAUACUAAGCCAUUCUGAGUCCAACCUGACUACCAAACAGGGAAUGUAAUAAUAAAUGAAUGGCUUAUUUCUGAAUAGAUAUUUUUACAUUCUUCUGUUGUAUAUGGUAUGUUUAGGUGUGUGUCAUAUAUGUGUUUCAUUUUGAGAGCAGGCAACUAAAUUUCAUUUUUGAUGUGUGCCGUUGUGCCCACAGUAAAAAAAAAUGACAAUAAAGGUUAUCUAUCCUGUAAGAACCUGUGAACUCCUAUAGUAGCUUUUCCCACCUCUAUGCAGCUAUAAUGUUCAGCUUUACAAAGUAUCCUGAAUUUUAUUUAUUUUUGUUUUACAAAUAAUAUGAUUGAUGGGCUUUCUGUCAGUCAGAUGCAGUGGGCAUCUGAAAUCCAGUUCCCUUUUGAAAAUAUGACCAUUAAAAAUACGGGAAGAAAAACCGGUUAUAUCCAUUUAUUGUAACAUUAAUAUUUCUCUCACAAAUACAACAUCUUAGAAUGUUUUAUCAAUUACAGAUUAUUAUAAAACUUGUAUCUGAAUUAAAUGUAAUUUCAGUUCAGUUUCAGUACUAGUAUAUAUUUGGAUUAUUAAAUUCAUGGAAUUUUAAAAGUGAACAAAAAGUAUGCACAGAUUACAACUAGUCAGAUUAUUACUGAGUUACCAGUUACAUUGGUUAGAUGAUAGUACUCUUUUAUAUAUACUGUAUUUCUGAAAAAAUCUUUCAAUACAAAAAGGACUCCCAUAGUUUUAAAACUACAUGAAGAACACAAAGCAAAAUCAACAGCAGUAACACCUUACAGUUGGAGACCUGGACAGCAAGUAUAAUAAGAUCACCUCUAAUCCAUUCUUUUAGUCCAUGGAAGAUACCGAGGCAAGGAAAAUAUUAUUCAUGACAGCUCUCCAAUGGUCGUCUUGUUGAAACUUCCCAUGAAUGUUGUUGUCUUCUGCAGCCUAUAUUUCAAAGCUCAUACUUAAGUGAUUGUUAUUAAGAAACCUACAUCUCGACUUCCGGUUUACAUCAUGGCGUUGCAGCCAAAGGAAAGUAGGGCUCCACUUCCCAUGGCUGAUUUCGCCUUGCCAGGGGGCUCUAAAUGGGCCUAAAGUCAUCCCAGAGAGACGAUGAAGGAGGGAACCCUUGUAGAUCACGAAAAGAUGGCGAUCGAUCCGUUGAUCUGAGGAAAGUCCUCCAAACCAGCAUGGGAAAGACUAGAUGCACUUCUGUGGUAAGCCCAAGUCAUUGACAACUGAAUAAAGAAAACACCAGCAUUAUCAGCAUUUUAAACAACGUGCAUGGAACUGGGUGAGAUUAUUAAUCCUUUCUCUACUACUUUGAUAUUUGAUUCCUCGAUAAGACAAACUCCCAUAAAGCAAGAAAUCCCCAAGCGUGAGAAGGAAGGAGAUUUUUGCUCCCCCCUUCCAGAGAAAAAAAGGCGGGUGAAUCCUUUAUGGGGAAAAAACAAAGAAGAAUAUAAUACUAAAAUGGAAGUUCUAUAAGACAGAGCUUUGACAAAUUGCAGAAUUGAGAAAUCUGUUAAGGGUUUUCUCUUUGGAAAAAAUGUUGGGGUGAAAUUCAAGAAACUUUAAAGUGAAAAUAACUGUUUAUUUUAAGUGCUGGAAAAUGGACAUCUGAGGACAUCUAGCAGUGACAUAGAGGUACAACAUUAAGCUUAUUGUGGCCAGAGCAUUUGGCACAAUGCCUAGACACAGAUAACUCUCAGCUUCUUUGACCUUCAGCUAAGCUUUCAGUUCAACAGAGAACAGCUGGCAACAGAGAAAAAUAUUUUGGACUACUCUCUACUUGAUGGAAGAUAUAACUCUUUUAAAACUUGCUGACUAUUCUGGACUACAAAUAUUGACUGAAUCUUAACUUUUGACUUUCUUUCUCUCGGUUAUUUUUUUUUUUACCUGGGGGAGAUUAAAGGAUAGACUUUAAGGUGGUUGGACACUGUGAAUUACAAACAUUGUUUGGAUUGAAAUCUUUGGACUUCUGGACAAAAGAAUUGUGACAAAAUACCCCUGGUUGAUGAUAGACCUAUAUUGUGGAACUUAUUGGACUACAAAGGCUACACAUAAAGACUAUAAGAACUAUAUGAGAUGAUUUUAAACCUAAAUUUAAUUUGUAUAUUACUGAUUAUAAGAUUGGUCCUGUCAAACAAGACUAACAUUUGGGAAAUAUAAAUAGAGGGAGGGAACAAAAACGAGUGCUCCACAUUUAGUCAAAAGUGGUAAAAAACCACCCCAAGUAUCUGCCUCUGAAGACCACAAUAUGGCACACCAGAGACAACUAAUAAUUUCCAGAAAGAAAUGCAACUUAUAUUGCAAUCAAUUCAAGAGACAAUUGAGUUACAUAGAGAAGAUUCAAGAAGAAACCACAAAGAGACUAAAAAGAACAUGAAUAAGAUAAAUGAGCAAGUUAUUAACUUAAAAUCUAAACUAGGGAAAUCUAAACUCUAAACUAGAUUGAGUCCAGGGUUCAAGCCUAACAAGAUUCUUUUGUAUCUUGAGCCUAUCUUCUAGAAUGUUGGUUAUUCCUGCCAGCUUGGUCUCAUCUGCAAUUUUGUUUUUCUUUUCUUUGUGAACUAGUGGGUGGGAGCUCUGAUCUUUUCAAAAAUCUACAUUUUAGGGUUUAAAUGACAAUUCUUGUGGAUUUUCAACCUCAAGGGGUGACAAAAAAUUGUAAAUUUUUAACAGUAUAUUCAGAGGGGAUUCUGACACCAUGGGGACUAACUGAUAUCCUGAAAUUGCAUACCACCUAUUACUGGCUCAUACCGAAGUCUUUCUGAUUUUGUAAUUUAGGUGCAUAGAUGGAGGAACAAAGGAGCUUGUGUAUGUAAGGAAAAGCUUUAUCUCUUAGAUGCACUAGAUCUUUUUGCUAACAGAGAUUUUGUACUCAAAUGUAUUUCUUAAAAUGGGGUCUGAGGAGCUCUGGGAGUCCCCAAGGUCCUCUUAAGGGACCUGCAAACUCAAAAUUAUUUGACAAUUAUUGAAGGUAUUUGCAAAAAUGUAGAAUAAUGCCACCUGUUCUCAUUUUUAUUUGUUAAAAAAAUAGAAUAUUUCAUGAAAAAUAUACUUAUGUUAAUAUGUUAUUGUUACUUUUGCCUGAUACUACAGAUAUUUUACAAAUGCAUGAAUUUUAAUUUUUAAUACAGUAAAGAUAGAUAAAUAUAACCCAUACAAACAAAAA